rnacentral:rRNA from 1 species
GUAGGGUGCAAGCGUUAAUCGGAAUUACUGGGCGUAAAGCGUGCGCAGGCGGUUUUGUAAGUCUGACGUGAAAUCCCCGGGCUUAACCUGGGAAUUGCGUUGGAGACUGCAAGGCUGGAGUCUGGCAGAGGGGGGUAGAAUUCCACGUGUAGCAGUGAAAUGCGUAGAGAUGUGGAGGAACACCGAUGGCGAAGGCAGCCCCCUGGGUCAAGACUGACGCUCAUGCACGAAAGCGUGGGGGAGCAAACAGGAUUAGAUACCCUGGUAGUCCACGCCCUAAACGAUGUCUACUAGUUGUCGGGUCUUAAUUGACUUGGUAACGCAGCUAACGCGUGAAGUAGACCGCCUGGGGAGUACGGUCGCAAGAUUA